AUUUAGCAUGGGCGAANGCCUGNCUAUGCGACGCCGCGUGAGGGAUGAAGGUCUUCGGAUUGUAAACCUCUUUUUUCAGGGAAGAAUGUCCUGCAACUAAUAGUUUGCAGGAUUGCCGGUACCUGACGAAUAAGCCACGGCCAACUCCGUGCCAGCAGCCGCGGUAAUACGGAGGUGGCAAGCGUUACUCGGAAUCAUUGGGUGUAAAGGGCAAGUAGGCGGUUUGAUAAGUGAGGGGUGAAAUCUUCCGACUCAAUCGGAAAACUGCCUUUCAAACUAUCAAACUUGAGGCAAGAAGGGGGAAGUGGAAUUCUCAGUGUAAGGGUGAAAUCUGUAGAUAUUGAGAAGAACACCGGCGGCGAAGGCGACUUCCUGGUCUUGUCCUGACGCUAAAUUGCGAAAGCUUGGGGAGCAAACAGAAUUAGAUACUCUGGUAGUCCAAGCCGUAAACGAUGAGCACUAGGUGUUGGCCCUUCUGGGGUCAGUGCCGCAGCUAACGCAUUAAGUGCUCCACCUGGGGACUACGGUCGCAAGGCUAAAACUCAAAAAAAUUGACGGA
rnacentral:rRNA from 1 species